UUAGUUAAAGCCAAAAAGAGGCAUUUCAUUGUUAAUGAAAAAAUUGAUAUUAUAUAUCUAACUAAA
rnacentral:tRNA from 1 species